rnacentral:rRNA from 1 species
UGGGGAAUAUUGGACAAUGGGCGCAAGCCUGAUCCAGCCAUGCCGCGUGAGUGAUGAAGGCCCUAGGGUUGUAAAUCUCUUUCACCGGUGAAGAUCAUGACGGUAACCGGAGAAGAAGCCCCGGCUAACUUCGUGCCAGCAGCCGCGGUAAUACGAACGGGGCUAGCGUUGUUCGGAUUUACUGGGCGUAAAGCGCACGUAGGCGGACUUUUAAGUCAGGGGUGAAAUCCCGGGGCUCAACCCCGGAACUGCCUUUUAUACUUGAAGUCUUGAGUAUGGUAGUGGUGAGUGUAAGUCCGAGUUUAGCGGUGACAUUCGUAGAUAUUCGGAGGAACUCCAGUGGCGAAGGCGGCUCCCUGCACCAUUACUGACGCUGAGGUGCGAAAGCGUGGGGAGCAAACAGG